GGGUCCAUAGCUGAGUAGUAGAGCUUUUUACUGCAGAUCAAGAGUUCACCGAUUCGAGCCCAGUUGGUACCU
rnacentral:tRNA from 1 species